rnacentral:rRNA from 1 species
GUACACUCCUACGGGAGGCAGCAGUGGGGAAUUUUGGACAAUGGGCGAAAGCCUGAUCCAGCAAUGCCGCGUGCAGGAUGAAGGCCUUCGGGUUGUAAACUGCUUUUGUACGGAACGAAAAAGCUCCUUCUAAUACAGGGGGCCCAUGACGGUACCGUAAGAAUAAGCACCGGCUAACUACGUGCCAGCAGCCGCGGUAAUACGUAGGGUGCGAGCGUUAAUCGGAAUUACUGGGCGUAAAGCGUGCGCAGGCGGUUAUGUAAGACAGAUGUGAAAUCCCCGGGCUCAACCUGGGAACUGCAUUUGUGACUGCAUGGCUAGAGUACGGUAGAGGGGGAUGGAAUUCCGCGUGUAGCAGUGAAAUGCGUAGAUAUGCGGAGGAACACCGAUGGCGAAGGCAAUCCCCUGGACCUGUACUGACGCUCAUGCACGAAAGCGUGGGGAGCAAACAGGAUUAGAUACCCCUGUAGUCCCAU